AUAUAUUAGAAAUCUAAAUGUAAUAUAAAAAUUGAGAUAAACUCAAUUUUUAAAACUAAAAGGUAGACUUGUAUAUAUAUAAAGAUUGAAUUUAGUCAUAGAAAUGAGGUUAGUAAUAUUCAGUUUUAGUUCUGGUUUUUUUGAGAGCGCAUUCCCGAACAAGCAUUCCCUCUCCAUUGACCAGUUAUCGCUUAUUGUUUCUCAUACUAUUAGUACUAGUCUAAUGUGGGCCUCUUCUUAACAUGCUGGAUGGCAGGCCAAACGUCAGUUCAAAAUAAAUAGUGUUGUUAUUCCUUCAUUAUUAUUCCUCUAUGUAUUAAUACCUUUGCUAAGUGCUAGGAAUUUUAUAAAGAGAAAUAAGUGUAGAAUUUCACAGUUUAUAGUUUAGCCAUUGGCUGAUUAUAGUUGCAGGGAAGCAAAUAAAUUUGUUACUGUGGCAGCCUACAAAUUGUGUAUUCAAUGUCUAUUCUUCUAUCUUCCACAAUAAUGAACUAAUAUUCAGGUGUCAAAAACAUGUUUACAGCCAUGCAGCUAAAUUCUAAGGAAGGAAGGAAGAUUGGUAAAACUUCUAUGAUAACCCCUUAAAAAUAAUAACAGAAAACUGGGGACAUUUAUUGAUAAAAACAUCUAUGUUCCUCUCAGCUUCCUUGAAUGUCGAUUAAAUGCCUAGGUAUUUAUAUUGGUCUUAGCUAUGAGACAACUUUACAUGGUAGAUGUCAUAUGGGAAAAAUAAAAUGCUAGACUUCUGUCAAUUUUGAACCAAUCAUGACUAUAAAGCCUUUCCUCUGGAUUUAUUUUAUAUAAAAGGAAAAUAAGUUGUUUUAUAUUUACUAAUAUAUUUACAGUUUUUUGUUAUAUUCAACCAAUCUAAUCCUAUAUGAUUCACUUAUCAAUGAAACUAAAUGGUUCCAAUUUAUGAAUAAAUCAAGUAGGCCUUGAAUAUCUAAGAUUCAUAUAAAUAGGUGAAUGGGGCCAUAGACAUACAGGAAGAAAAUAUACUAGUAUGUUUGAAGUAGGAAAUUACAUUGAAUAGUCUCUAAAUACACCUUUAUUCAUCCAACAUGGAACUAGUGAUCCAUAGUUGCUAAACCACAGAGUCUAUGAAAAAAGAGAAAAGAAAUAGGGUGAAAUGAUAAGUUAUAAAGAGUUUAUAGUCUUCAGUGUCUAAAGAAUGGAUUCUGUUUUUUUUUAAAUUAUAAUGCCAUCACUAAUUAUUUACAAAGUAAGAGAAAAAUUUAGAGCUGAAUGGACCUUAAAAUCUCCUGAGGCAGUAAUUUUCAAAAUAUGCUAUGGGAAAAACCUCAUGAGAAUUACUUGAUGGGCAGUGUGUGGAAGCAGAGUUUGGGAAAGACAGGUCCUCAGCACUGAGUGAUCCUCAUUCAGGACAACUCUGCUUUUGUCUGUUUAUUAAUCAGUGUAGCACUUCUUUGAAAAACUAUUCCAAAGUUAACAUUAGGAAUCUACUACUUGACACAAAAAUUUUACUAUAGUUACUGGAAAAAACUGACUCAGAGGAGACUUUUGUGCACUGUGAAUUAGGACUUGGCCCCAAUCCAUAGAACAUUAGCCAAUUUCCUCUCUUAUGUUAUGGAUAUAUCUUAACUGUGCUCCCAGAUAAUCUGAAAUGUACUUCCAAGGGACAAAUGUUGGAGACUGGACAACUACUUAUAAAACUUAGUUGAUUUGCUACUCCAGAGAGGUGAUAGCCUCAGGCCAGGGCAGAGUCAAAAGAACUAAGUGAAUGUAUAUUAGUCACCCCAGUGGGUUCUAUGCCUCCCUCAUCAGUAGUGUAAACAGGUCUCUGCUUUUAUUUCCUUGUGUUAAAAAUCCUCACAGUAGCAUUUUUUUUUUCUCUAAUUGCAUCCUGACUUACACCCAGUCAAUGCCCUGUAUUUUACUAAAGAGAACUAUUGAGACUGGACAUUUCAUUUACCUUAUGAUUUGAGGCAACCUGCAGCCUCAAACUUUGGGUCUAGCUAUUUGAUGCUUCAUUCUUGAGGCUAUGAAAAAUAAGAUUCUUUAAUUCCAGGAAUUAGCAUUCUAGCUUACUCAUUGUACCUCAAGCAGAGAGCUAAAACCCUGAGCAUUUUAUGUAGUUUCAGUGUACAGUCCUGUGCUUAUUCCCUUUUUGUCAUUCUUUUCCAAGAGUCACUAGGACCCUGUAUUUGCUCUCAUUAAGCUUUCUAUGCACAUAGCUACAAGUGAUAAUGUAAGUAAAUGUUGAUCAAUGUGUCUCAUGGACAACAGUUUCAUUUACCUUUGAAGUCAUUACUGCCUUCAGAUCUCACUAAGUGAGAAAACCAAGACAAGUUUCAUCUGUAGGUGGUCCUUUCCCUACAAAGUACUCUGUUGUCUACCAGUUGGGGCAGUUAUGAAAACAGACAUCGCUAGAGAUAAUUAUCAACAUAAGAUGAUUUAUUAUCGUGACCUGGAGAGACAUGUUUCAAGGGCUGGUAAAGAAAGGUCAGAAAGUUACUUCUGGCUUUCAGAAAUGCCAGAAUUACAAAAAAGUCAUUACUAGUAAACUUAGCUUUCUAACAAUACCAAAGUCAGUGAUUCUCAGGAGGAUGCCCAUACAUUGCUAGAAGCUGCUGUUGAUUAUCACAGCUGCCUACGGCACUAAAGUGGAUAAUUCUCAGGAGGAUCCCUGAAAGCCACUAGCAAAACUCCCUUUUUGCCAUCUGCUGAUGCCCUUACUCUAAGCAGUAUAAGGAAGUUGCUGAGAAAGAACACCCAUUAUUCAGCCCAAGACAUGUGCGAAAGACUGCUGAAACUGAAUUGAUAUUGCACAAGUCUUCACUUUGCAAAGUAAUGAAGAAGCAGAAAAAUGACUGUACAAGCGAAAACCAUGCAAAUCAAUUUUAAUAAUCAAGAAAAAUUAUAACUGUUUUACAGCCCUUAAAAUUUUUCGUAAGUUAUUAGUAACCUUCAUAUUUAGUUAUACUAGUAUAAGGAAAAGAAAAAUAACAAAACUAAUAUUUGUGCACAGUUCUUUAAUUUAAAACAUCACAAGCUGGCAACCCAUUUUAUUUCUUUUUUAUAAAAUAUGCCAAGAGUAGUUUAAACAGUACUUGACUUCUCAUCAUAUAACUUACUCUAUGGAGACAGCAUCUUUUAUAUGUCUUGGUGAAUUGCAUAGCCCUUGCUAAACUUGGAUCAGCUUCCAACAUUUUAUACUUUAUAUGUUUAGUGCCAUGAGUUAUGUCUGAGAACUCCCUUACUGUGAAAUUCUUUGCCCAUAUCACUUUCUCUGGCACAACAUUAUCUUUUUCAUUAUAACCACUUUCUUCAUUUAUUCAUGAAGCCUACUUGAGUAGACUAGUGAAAAUCUACCUGCAUAACUGAUUCUUUCCAAUGUGGGUCAUAGCAAUAUCCCUCUGGUCAGCUGUUUUCCAUAAUAUUAUUUAUAUUUUAUUUGAAUUAUGACUUCAGUAUUAUCAUUUAGCAUUUUGCAUUGCUGAAAUUUGAAAGGAGUUCUUUGGAACUGGUAUUAUAUAACUAAAAUAUGGAGAAUGAAAUCUAUGCACACUGGAAACUUCAGAAGAAAGGACAACAUGGCUUAGUGAUCAGACCCCUUUACUUGGUGUGGAGAGCAAGAGUUGGGAAGAUAAUAAAAUCAAUGUUAACUUUAAAAAUGUAAAUAUGGAAAAUAUAAUGCCAAUGCAUAUAAACAAGUGGUGGAGAAAUUGAGGAAAGCUGAGGAAAUUAAUUUUGACCUCUUGAAUUUUAGGUGCAUAAGCCUAAUCCAUUUGAAAAUGCCCACCAACCUGUUAAAAUUCCAAUCUGUAUUCCAGGAAAUUUAGGCAUCACAAAUACCAACUUAUCAACAGCAAAGAGAUGGCAAAGUGAGUGUGUAAAAUUGCUGUACUCAAACUCUCAAGAUCUCUCAUGGAUUUGAUGUUUGGGAGAUAACAAUCCAUGGGAACUGUAGACAGUCACAUUGAAAGAGAAAUCUAGAAAAUCAAAAGGGUAGUUAGUUCAUUUUUAGAACAAAACUAAGGGAAACUAUGAACAAUGACAGGCAAGGUUAAGAAAUACUGUGAAAGAUAAGUAAUAAGUAAAAAGCCACUAGAUUUUUCCAUUUAGAAAAUAAGUGUUGAGUCUUCAGUAGAAAACUGUUGAUAAAAUGUUGGGAGCUAAGAAGAGAAGAAGACAAGAAAGAUUUGGGAGUUGAUGGACAGUGGACCAUGUGUUUGAGGUUUAUUAAAGGAAAUAGUAGUUUAUAAAAUACAGUGAGAAAAAUCAUUGUGUCUUUUCUGAGGAGGAAAUCUGUUUUCCUCUAGAGAGGAAGUUAAUAAAAAGACAAUAAUUGAAAACACAGGUUCAAAAGAGAUGGAGAAGGUUGGAAUAGAUACAUUUAACAUGACUUCUAUAUGAGUAAGGGCUCUUGUUUUGGACAGAAAAGAGAAGGUGACAAAUGAGAGUUUUAGGGAAAGAACAGGGAUUCUGGUGGAGUCUUCAUUAGGAUCUAUCUUCACCUCAAAAUAGAAUGAGAGGGGUCACUCAGCGGAGAGUAAGAGCAAAUGUCAAGUUGAGAAUUUGUGAAAACCUGAGAAUUGUUUAUUGUGUUGAUAAAACAUAUUUAAAAGUUAUUUAGGGGCCAGGAUUUAGCUCAGUGGUUCCGCCACCUGCCUCGCAAGCGCAAGGACCUGAGUUUGAUCCCCAGUAAAAAAAAAAAAAAAUGAUUUAGUACUUGUGUUACCUUAUCAUAAAUUAUAACACAGGGAUUGAACCUUGAAAAAUUAAAUUUCUUUGUUCUUAAUAUUCUCAGUUUCAACUACCUGAGAAUAGAUAUAUAAGAAAGAAAUGUUCAUAUUUCUUUCUUUUGAAUUUUUUAUUUGUUUAGUAGUACAUGUUUGUAGUAUAUAUUGUUUACAUUCUUUGUGGGGAGUUGGUACAUGUACAUAACACACCUUAAUUUAUUUUUUUCGUCUUCUUCCUCUUCUACCAUCCCCUCUCCCUCUGUCUCCUGUUCCACUUUCCACUUGAGAAAGAUAUAGCUUCCUACUCCCUGUUAUAUAACUUUUAUUUUAUCUUUAUUUAUAAUUUUCAUAUAAGAGAAACCAUGUGAUAUUUAAGCUCCUGUGUCUGAUUUAUUUCACAUAUAGUCUCAAGGUACAUCCAUUUUCCCACAAAUGGCUCAAGUAUAUCCUUUCUGGCAGAAUAAUAUUUCCAUUGUGUGUUUUCUAGUUUCUGUUUUUUAAGGAACCUCCAUACUGAUUUCUAUAGCGGUUGUACCAGUUUACAUUCCCACCAAAAAUAUUGAAGUGUUUCUUUUUCCCCUAAUCCUCACCGGCAUUUGCUGUUGUCUGAUUUCUUGAUGAUGGCCAUUAUUUCUGUGGUAAGGUGAAAUCUCAAUGUUUUAAUUUGCAUUUCUCUAAUGGCCUGCAACACUGAACAAUUUUUCAUGUAUCUAUUGAUCAUUUGUACUUCUGAGAAAUGUCUGUUCAUUUCACUUGCUUAUUUCUUUUAUUUAGGGGAAAUCUAAUAUAUUGAAUUCUUCAUAUAUUCUAGAUACUACUUCUCUGUCAGGAAUAACUGGAAAAAUGUAUCCUAUUCUGUACAUUGCCAUUUCAUUCUGUUGGUUGUUUCUUUUGCUGUACAGAAGCUGUUAAAUUUGAUAUGCCGCAUUUAUUGGUUCUUAAUUUAUUGGUUCUUAUUUCCUCCACUAUGGGGUUUUUUUUUCCUGCACUAUGGGGGUUCUUUUCAAAAAAUCCUUGCUUAUGCCUAUGAAUUCAAGAAUUUACCCUAGUUAAUUUCCAGCAAAUUGUUUAUGUUUAUUACUUGGCUCUUUAAUUGACUUUGAUUUAAUUUAGUACAUGAUGAGAGAUAUGGUCUAAAUUCAACCUUCUGCACAUGAAUAGCCACUUUUCCCAGCACCAUUUAGUAAAGAGGCUUUCAUCUCAUGUAUAUUUUUGUCACCUUUGCAAAAAUCAAAUAGUUGAGUGUGCUUUGGGUUGUUUCUGUAUCCUGUAUUGUGUUCCAUUGAUGCACAUUUUUUUUUGUAGCCAGCCAUGCUAUUUUUAUUAUUGUAGCUUUAUAAUAAAACUUCAGAUCUGGGAUUAUGAUGUUAUGAUGCCUCCUACUUUACUCUUGUUACCCUACUUUUGGACUCUGGUUCUCUUUUGGCAACUCAUGAAUUUUAAGAUUGUUUUCUCUAGUUCUAUGAAGAAUGCUGUUGGUAUUUCUUGUAAUUGUGUUAAAUCUGUAUAUCAAUUUUGGAAGUAUGCUCAUUUUGUCUAUAUUGCUUCUGACUAUUCAGGAAAAUGGAAUAUCUUUCCAUCUUUGAUCUCCUUUUUCAGAAUACUAGUUUUCAUUGUUGAAGUCUUUUGUUGGCUUAGGUUAUUCCUUAAGUAUUUAAUUUUUCUUAAUACUAUUGUGAAUGGUAGUUUUUAAAUUUUUCUCUCAGUGAGUUCAUUAUUGGUGUAUAGAAACACUUGAUUUUUGUGUAUUGAUUUUGUAUCUUACUACAUUGCUGAAUUUGUUAUUUCUAGGAGUCUAUUGGUGUAUUUUGAGGGGGUCUUCUACUUAGAGAAUGAUUAUAUUUCUACAAGGAUAGUGAUGUAGCAGAAGGUAAUGACCUUGCGGUAUUAGAAAAAUCAUCAUUAAAAAGGAUCCCUGAGAAUAAUAAAACAAAGUUAAGAGAAUUAAGAAUAUACACUGACUAUCAGGGUGAUAGAAAAUGAGUUUAUUGAGUAGUAAGCAAUUCUUUGUUCCCUGUCAAAAUUUUUUAAGACUGAUGUUCAGAGAGUGGUUCACCAAUGUCAAAUAUUGUACUUUUGAGGUUCAAAUACAUAAUUAUAUUCACACAACUAUAGGAUACCCUUUAGCUCCACAUAUGUUGAUCUCUUUUUCUAUAGUUAAGUCAGCCUGUGGUAUCUGUAGCUUGGGGGUGGCAGUGUUCUUGACCACAUUUUUGACAACAUUAUUCAGUGUAAUUUAGUUUUGAGUUUUCUCCUAUCAAACUGAUUUCCAGAAUGAGGGAGGGAAAAAGAGAGGGGAAGAGAAGAAGAAGAAGAGGAAGAAAAAAGAAGAAGGAGGAGGAGGAAGAAGAAAGAAAAAAGAAAAGAAAGAAAAAGGAAGGAAGGAAGAAAAAAUAGAAGGAAAGGAAGGAAGAGAGGAGAGAAGGAGAAGAGAAAAGAAGAAAAAACUAGUUAGAGAUGAGGAUGAGGAAGGUAUCAUGAUUAAGGAGGAAAAAAUUAAAAGGGUGGUAAAGGAAUUGAAAAUGAUGAAGAUAUGUUAUAUGCAUGCACUAAUUCACCAAAAUGAACAAUCAUUAUUCUAUACUGCAAACAUAGUCUAAAACAUAAAGUAAAAUCAAAGUCUAAUAGGUCAGUGCCUUUACAAGUAGUUUUCCUUUUACAUAAUUAUUUCCAUAUGGAAAGGUGGCUCUUGCUAAACCACGAACUGGUUAUAAGUCAGUCAUACCCAAUCAUUUUAUGAAUUUAGUAUGGCUGUACAUAGAUUCUACAAAACAAACUGACUCUUCUUUUGGAACCACCUGGUAAAAAACUGUUAGAUUAAAAGAAGAAAUUUAACUUGGAUUAACUUUUGAGUUAAGAAAUGGAGAAAUUAGUUUUUUAAAUAUAAAAUCAUAAUCCUAA
rnacentral:lncRNA from 1 species